CAUCAGAUUCUUCACUUUCAUUAUCCUUAGAGGUAGUAGUCUUGAGAGCGAUGGUCUUUUUCUUUUUGGUUUCUUCCUUCAUAUUUUGCCUCAUGGUUAACUCAUAAGUCAUUAGAAACCCAAGAAGUUCUUCCAAUGAUAGUUUGUUGAGGUCCUUGGCUUCUUGAAUGGUGGUGACCUUCGCUUCCCAAUCCUUCAAAAGUGACCUAAGAAUUUUGUGAACAAGCUCACUGUUAGAAUAAGAUUUUUCUAAGCUUUUCAAACUAUUGAUAAUAUUAGUGAAUCUAGUAAAUA
rnacentral:lncRNA from 1 species